CCUACGGGCGGCAGCAGUGGGGAAUAUUGGACAAUGGGGGCAACCCCGAUCCAGCCAUGCCGCGUGUGUGAAGAAGGCCCUCGGGUUGUAAAGCACUUUCAGUGAGGAAGAACGCCUGGUGGUUAAUACCCAUCAGGAAAGACAUCACUCACAGAAGAAGCACCGGCUAACUCCGUGCCAGCAGCCGCGGUAAUACGGAGGGUGCGAGCGUUAAUCGGAAUUACUGGGCGUAAAGCGCGCGUAGGUGGCUUGAUAAGCCGGUUGUGAAAGCCCCGGGCUCAACCUGGGAACGGCAUCCGGAACUGUCAAGCUAGAGUGCAGGAGAGGAAGGUAGAAUUCCCGGUGUAGCGGUGAAAUGCGUAGAGAUCGGGAGGAAUACCAGUGGCGAAGGCGGCCUUCUGGACUGACACUGACACUGAGGUGCGAAAGCGUGGGUAGCAAACAGGAUUAGAUACCCUUGUAGUC
rnacentral:rRNA from 1 species